AAUCAACGCUGGCGGCGUGCCUCAGACAUGCAAGUCGAACGAGAAAUCCCGAGCAAUCGGGAAAGUAAAGUGGCGCACGGGUGAGUAACACGUAGGUAAUCUACCUUCGGGUGGGGAAUAACCCAGGGAAACUUGGGCUAACACCGCAUAAUGCAGCGGCACCACAUGGUGACAGUUGUUAAAGCGGGGGAUUUUAGGACCUCGCGCCUGAAGAGGAGCCUGCGGCGGAUUAGCUAGUGGUAAGGUAACGGCUUACCAAGGCGACGAUCCGUAGCCGGCCUGAGAGGGCGGUCGGCCGACACUGACACUGACAUACGGGUCAGACUCCUACGGGA
rnacentral:rRNA from 1 species